UCCUUGGUGGCUCAGAUGGUAAAGAAUCUGCCUGCAAUGCAGAAGACCUAGGUUUGAUCCCUGGGUUGGGAA
rnacentral:tRNA from 1 species